rnacentral:rRNA from 1 species
CCUACGGGUGGCAGCAGUAGGGAAUUUUCGUCAAUGGGCGCAAGCCUGAACGAGCAAUGCCGCGUGAACGAGGAAGGUCUUCGGAUCGUAAAGUUCUGUUGAAGGGGAAAAAGAGCGGAGAGAGGAAAUGGUCUCCGAUUGAUAUUACCCUUCGAGGACGUCACGGCUAACUACGUGCCAGCAGCCGCGGUAAUACGUAGGUGGCGAGCGUUAUCCGGAAUGAUUGGGCGUAAAGGGUGCGUAGGCGGCCUGCUAAGUCUGGAGUGAAAGGUACCGGCUCAACCGGUACAGGCUCUGGAAACUGGCGGGCUAGAGAGCAGUAGAGGGCGGUGGAACUCCAUGUGUAGCGGUAAAAUGCGUAGAUAGAUGGAAGAACACCAGUGGCGAAGGCGGCCGCCUGGCCUGUUACUGACGCUGAGGCACGAAAGCGUGGGGAGCAAAUAGGAUUAGAUACCCGGGUAGUC